CCAAAAGUAACUACAGAUACAAUGGAUUGCCCCAUCAAAAUCCCAAUGACAUUCUCCCCAGAAAUAGAAACAAAUAAUUCUAAUAUUCAUAUGGAAGAAGAAAAGACUCUGGAUAACCAAAGCUACCUGAACCUAAAAAAGCAAUAACAGACAUACUAUAAUACUUGAUUUCAAAACAAUACUCCAGAGCAAAAGUAACAAAAAACAGCAUAAGCUAGCAAAAAGAAAAACAAACAAAACCAACACCAGACAUGUAGACCAAUGGAAUAGAGUAGAAGUGCCAGAAGUAAAUCUGCACAGAAAAAGUAAUGAGUCCCAACAAAGCAAAAUUAUACGCUGGUGAACAGUGUAACAAAUGGUACAGGGGAAACUGGCUAUCUACAUGUAUAAGGCUGCAAUAGAUCCUUACCUCUUACCCUGUACAAAAAUCAACUCAAGGGGCUGGGAAUAUGGCCUAGUGGUAGAGUGCUUGCCUCGUAUACAUGAAGCCCUGGGUUCCAUUCCUCAGCACCAC